AAGGCUUUAGCUUAAUUAAAGUGUCUGUUUUGCAUGCAGGAGAUGUGAGAUAAUGGCUUGCAAGUCUUA
rnacentral:tRNA from 1 species